rnacentral:rRNA from 1 species
UACGUAGGGUGCGAGCGUUAAUCGGAAUUACUGGGCGUAAAGCGUGCGCAGGCGGUUUUGUAAGCCAGAUGUGAAAUCCCCGAGCUUAACUUGGGAACUGCAUUUGGGACUGCAAGGCUAGAGUACGGCAGAGGGGGGUAGAAUUCCUGGUGUAGCAGUGAAAUGCGUAGAUAUCAGGAGGAAUACCGAUGGCGAAGGCAGCCCCCUGGGUCGAUACUGACGCUCAUGCACGAAAGCGUGGGGAGCA